ensembl:lncRNA
GUGAUCUCUGACAACUAACAUGAAGAGACAAUGAGAAUUUAUUAGCUUGUGUAUAUGGUGUUGUCUUUGUAUUUGACUGUAAUUUUUUUUUCUACCUUUUAGAUAGUGUUUAGAUAGUGAACGUGUUUUGUUAGUUGAUCUACCUGCGCAAAAAGUAAAGCAACUGUAACCUUUAACCUAUUGUGAAGCUAGGGUCAAAUAUACAUAAAGUUAUAUUAACACAGUGAGAAAAAAAGUUUUAAAUUACACUCCUGGUGCCAGAAGUAAUCCGUCUUUUAGAUGAGAUUUCACUAUAAUAAAAAUCUGUUUUGUUUCUUUAAAAAAACAACAACUCUAGAACAACCUAUACAGAGACAUGUUUUCAAGUUUUCAUUACAUGAACACAAACUACACACCUUGUCAAACUUUUUUUUUUUAAGGAUAAAGCAGGAUACGCUGUAGAAAGUCACAAUAUGUUCUUUUUUGCUGCGCUAUGUAGGUGACAGACUGCAGAGGUGUUCAUUUGGACUGCAGACCAAAACAGUGUUCAGCAACAGUAUUCUGCAAAGCAGCAGCACUAUCAAUUUUCUUCAAUUUAUGUCUCCAAUUUCCUGAGUUCAGCCUGUGCCAACACCACUGUAGAACUGACAGAUGAAGUCCAGCAUGUAAAGCCAGCAGCUUGUCUCUCUUACAGCAAUUGACACGUUUUUUUCUUUUUCUUUUUCAGAGAUAUUCAGUACAAUGAGUCGCAGUAGCACCUAUAAUGAACAGCUUCCUUUACCUGAACACAGAGUAUUUCCACUACAUUAGUUUCAUUGGCAUCAUGCGGGCAGGAGGAAAACUCACAGCAGGGCUGUGUAACAGUAUGGUGUCGACAGCACACUUCUCCACUGGGCUCUGCUUGGGGGCCUGCCUCUCUGUGUGAAGCUCCUGUGUAGGAUUAGACACUGGUGUGCAAGUCAAAUGGUUCCUAGCUAAUGGAGUCUCCACACCUGCUUGAUGUCUACAUCGGCCCUGCUUACUGUUACUCAUAGCGCUCAUAUAUCAAGCAGACAAACGAAGGAAUGCAGAGGCAUUUC